AUGAGGUGAGACAUCUACCAGGCUUUGAGACAAACUUUAACUUUUCCUAUGAACUCUUCUCUAAAGCAGGUCACGGGGAAAAAAAGGGUUUAAAGAGAAAUAACUUCUCCGGGCAAAAACUGAGGUUAGCGGGCCUAUCAGCUGUUUCUUCUCACUCCACCACUGCUGCUGACUGGAGGAGCAGCCUGGAAAGCAGCCGCCCUCCCGCAAACAGGCUGCCUCCACCUUCUCCAGUGUGGACUUGAAGUUUUGGAACCACAGAGUAAUGCAGCACUGACAUUACAAACAAGGUGUCCUUAAACAAACAGGUAUCACUGUGUCAUAUUACAAAUUCAUCCAAGCUCGACACUCCAGGAGCUCCGUGAGUGAUCUGGGUUCUGAAGCAAGGAAAAUCAAUUGUAUUUAAACAACGAAAAAUAAUGUCUCCUGAGCUGCUCAUAGCCAAGAAAUCACUCUGGCCCCAUUCUUAAAAUAACAGGUAUUUGGGUAGAACUAUUGAUUGUUUUCACUUUUGUUGCCUUAGUAGAAUGACGCAUCAUCCAUAAAAAAUGUGAAUGUCAGGACGGUGGGACCAUCCUGGCACACUGAGCAGCAGGGACCUCCGAGCCCUCAGAUGUCAUCCAGUCAGGUGUGUGGGGGCCACUCGCCAUGCACAGCUUCUCUCAGCAGAGGCUGACCAGAAUGGUGGUGAUAUGAAGAGUUGGGGAAUUCGACUUGAAUGCAAAACAUAAUACUGCUUUCACUUAAAAAGGUUGGUGAACCAUACUCCAACAGAAAGGGGAAACAAGACUGGCCCUGCUGGAGUGAGGAAGCUGACUGAGGGAAGAACCAGAAGGCUGCCAAAAUGUCUGCUGCUGGGGAAACCAAACCACAGUAACUUCAGAAAUAUAUACUUGGAAUAUGUCAUGUAUUAAUGGGUAAAGACACCAUGGAUAUGAAGGAAAUCACCUAUGGGAGAAUAUUAAGAAGAGAAGAAGGUAAAGAAUCUUCCUUGGAGAACAUCUACAUUUAAAGGUCAGGGAGAAGAUAUAUCAGUAGGAGCGUCAGAGGGGAUUGUGGACAAAGUAUUUACAAAAAUUAAGAUGUGAAGACCACUAGAAUUUGCUUAAAUGUUGAUGGAAAAAGAUACAGCAAACAGGAGUGUGAAAGUAUCGGUAAGUGAAAAGAGGAAAACAGGAAUAGUCAUUGGUGUAAGAUUCCCAAUGGAUUAAGAUAAAAUUGAAUCCAGAUCCUGAAUGGUGGGAUAAACUUUGCAAAAUAUUUAGUAGGUUGGGUCAUAGAAAGCAGAGGAAGUUCUUCUCUGAUAUGAUAAUUCUAUAUUUGGAAACAACAAGAUAAUGGAUUGUCUUUCUUCCUACUUUUAAUGUUCGAGUAUUGGCAUGAACAAAACUCAGAACAAAAUGAAUUUCACUUAUUUCCAAGUGGGCUACUCUAUCAUUUUAAAAAACACAUCACAUAGACAUGGAGUUUGAGGAGAAGAUUUGUUCUAUUCAAUAUUAAGUUAGGCUUCCUUCCUGUAUUCAUCAAAUUGAACUGGAUGGAAUACGAGUCCCUAAUCCAACACCUCCAACUGGAGAAAUAGUCUGCUGAUUCUCACAGAUCUCAUGUCCUGCUUAGCGUAGAUAAUUUUCAUAUGGAUUAUAAUGAAUAAUAUGAAUUUAAACAAUUCACUAGAAGCCUAAAACAUUUUGUUUGAAGCUCUUCUUUGUCCAGCUAAAAAUAACUUCUGGUCUACAAGGCUACCACCAUAAUUGAGUUCUACAUCUCCAGUCACAAGUAGAACCAAAAUUACAGUGAACGUACAAUAAUUCUUUAUCUCUUGGUUCCAGAUUUUUCUCAAUUAUUUAUAUCUCUCUAUUAUGGUCUCAUAUUCCUUUCUGUUACAGAGUUUCAGUCUAUGUUGAGUCAAGCAAUUUUAGGGCUGCUUAAACUCUGGUUCAUUAGCCAUGGUCCACUAGCAUCCAUGUCAUGGCACUAGGGUUUAAUAUGGUUAAUAGGAUCCUGGAGGAGGAAGUAUAUUGAAAAUUAAACUUUAAAUUAAACAUAAAACACUAAAAAUUAUUAGAAGCAUUAAAAAAUAAAUGUUUCCAUAUAUGGGUUAGAAAAUCUGACUUUAUUUUGAUCCUAGGGGCUGCUGGCUGUAGUGAAAUGUAUAAAAAAGAGAGUGUGAUCGUAGUUUCUGUCUCUAACUAUGAGUUACUUGUGAUUAACUUCAAAUAUUCUCUCCAUAAGAAGAGGCCCAGAAGAAGAAGAUGAGCUUCAGUUAUUGUAGCACAACUGCUGUGAUAUUUGUAAAGAUUCAAAACCUAUAAUAAAAUGUAUAAAAGGAAACUCCAUUUGAAAUGAUUUGAAAUCUCACAUGGAAAUCUAUUUUUUUUAAAUCAGAGCUUAGUAAGAGAAAAUAACAGAACAUUGUAAUAAUUGAAUUACAAAAACAACUGAAUUUUGGAAAAUUUAUUUUCUCUCAUGUGAUGUGUGUGUAUGUGUGUGCGUGUGUGUGUGUGUGUGUGUCUAUUUAGCAAUGGCGUUAUUCUAUCAAAUGGGAUUAGAUUCAUUUUUGACUCCUGCUAAGCACCCUGUCCCCGCAACCCCAAGAUUAUGAAAGCGAAAGGGAAGGGGGAGAAAGGAAAUAUGACUUAUUUAAACUGUAUAAAAAUGCUGAAAUAAAAUGAACAUUCAAAA